rnacentral:rRNA from 1 species
UACAGAGGGGGCAAGCGUUAUUCGGAAUUAUUGGGCGUAAAGGGCGCGUAGGCGGCCUGACAAGUGGAAGGUGAAAUCCCUCGGCUUAACCGAGGAACUGCCCUCCAAACUGUCUGGCUUGAGACCGGGAGAGGUGAGUGGAAUUCCCAGUGUAGCGGUGAAAUGCGUAGAUAUUGGGAGGAACACCAGUGGCGAAGGCGACUACCUGGCCUGUUCUUGACGCUGAGGCGCGAAAGCUAGGGGAGCAAACGGG